UCUUCCCUCUUUCCUCGUGCCUAAUACAUGCAAGUCGAGCGAACGGACGAGAAGCUUGCUUCUCUGAUGUUAGCGGCGGACGGGUGAGUAACACGUGGAUAACCUACCUAUAAGACUGGGAUAACUUCGGGAAACCGGAGCUAAUACCGGAUGAUAUUUUGAACCGCAUGGUUCAAAAGUGAAAGACGGUCUUGCUGUCACUUAUAGAUGGAUCCGCGCUGCAUUAGCUAGUUGGUAAGGUAACGGCUUACCAAGGCAACGAUGCAUAGCCGACCUGAGAGGGUGAUCGGCCACACUGGAACUGAGACACGGUCCAGACUCCUACGGGAGGCAGCAGUAGGGAAGCUUCCGCAAUGGGCGAAAGCCUGACGGAGCAACGCCGCGUGAGUGAUGAAGGUCUUCGGAUCGUAAAACUCUGUUAUUAGGGAAGAACAUAUGUGUAAGUAACUGUGCACAUCUUGACGGUACCUAAUCAGAAAGCCACGGCUAACUACGUG
rnacentral:rRNA from 1 species